rnacentral:rRNA from 1 species
GGUAUCCUGUCUGAAUAUGGGGGGACCAUCCUCCAAGGCUAAAUACUCCUGACUGACCGAUAGUGAACCAGUACCGUGAGGGAAAGGCGAAAAGAACCCCGGCGAGGGGAGUGAAAAAGAACCUGAAACCGUGUACGUACAAGCAGUGGGAGCACGCUUAGGCGUGUGACUGCGUACCUUUUGUAUAAUGGGUCAGCGACUUAUAUUCUGUAGCAAGGUUAACCGAAUAGGGGAGCCGAAGGGAAACCGAGUCUUAACUGGGCGUUAAGUUGCAGGGUAUAGACCCGAAACCCGGUGAUCUAGCCAUGGGCAGGUUGAAGGUUGGGUAACACUAACUGGAGGACCGAACCGACUAAUGUUGAAAAAUUAGCGGAUGACUUGUGGCUGGGGGUGAAAGGCCAAUCAAACCGGGAGAUAGCUGGUUCUCCCCGAAAGCUAUUUAGGUAGCGCCUCGUGAAUUCAUCUCCGGGGGUAGAGCACUGUUUCGGCAAGGGGGUCAUCCCGACUUACCAACCCGAUGCAAACUGCGAAUACCGGAGAAUGUUAUCACGGGAGACACACGGCGGGUGCUAACGUCCGUCGUGAAGAGGGAAACAACCCAGACCGCCAGCUAAGGUCCCAAAGUCAUGGUUAAGUGGGAAACGAUGUGGGAAGGCCCAGACAGCCAGGAUGUUGGCUUAGAAGCAGCCAUCAUUUAAAGAAAGCGUAAUAGCUCACUGGUCGAGUCGGCCUGCGCGGAAGAUGUAACGGGGCUAAACCAUGCACCGAAGCUGCGGCAGCGACACUAUGUGUUGUUGGGUAGGGGAGCGUUCUGUAAGCCUGUGAAGGUGUACUGUGAGGUAUGCUGGAGGUAUCAGAAGUGCGAAUGCUGACAUAAGUAACGAUAAAGCGGGUGAAAAGCCCGCUCGCCGGAAGACCAAGGGUUCCUGUCCAACGUUAAUCGGGGCAGGGUGAGUCGACCCCUAAGGCGAGGCCGAAAGGCGUAGUCGAUGGGAAACAGGUUAAUAUUCCUGUACUUGGUGUUACUGCGAAGGGGGGACGGAGAAGGCUAUGUUGGCCGGGCGACGGUUGUCCCGGUUUAAGCGUGUAGGCUGGUUUUCCAGGCAAAUCCGGAAAAUCAAGGCUGAGGCGUGAUGACGAGGCACUACGGUGCUGAAGCAACAAAUGCCCUGCUUCCAGGAAAAGCCUCUAAGCAUCAGGUAACAUCAAAUCGUACCCCAAACCGACACAGGUGGUCAGGUAGAGAAUACCAAGGCGCUUGAGAGAACUCGGGUGAAGGAACUAGGCAAAAUGGUGCCGUAACUUCGGGAGAAGGCACGCUGAUAUGUAGGUGAAGUCCCUCGCGGAUGGAGCUGAAAUCAGUCGAAGAUACCAGCUGGCUGCAACUGUUUAUUAAAAACACAGCACUGUGCAAACACGAAAGUGGACGUAUACGGUGUGACGCCUGCCCGGUGCCGGAAGGUUAAUUGAUGGGGUCAGCGCAAGCGAAGCUCUUGAUCGAAGCCCCGGUAAACGGCGGCCGUAACUAUAACGGUCCUAAGGUAGCGAAAUUCCUUGUCGGGUAAGUUCCGACCUGCACGAAUGGCGUAAUGAUGGCCAGGCUGUCUCCACCCGAGACUCAGUGAAAUUGAACUCGCUGUGAAGAUGCAGUGUACCCGCGGCAAGACGGAAAGACCCCGUGAACCUUUACUAUAGCUUGACACUGAACAUUGAGCCUUGAUGUGUAGGAUAGGUGGGAGGCUUUGAAGUGUGGACGCCAGUCUGCAUGGAGCCGACCUUGAAAUACCACCCUUUAAUGUUUGAUGUUCUAACGU